rnacentral:rRNA from 1 species
CCUACGGGUGGCAGCAGUCGAGAAUCAUUCACAAUGGGGGAAACCCUGAUGGUGCGACGCCGCGUGGGGGAAUGAAGGUCUUCGGAUUGUAAACCCCUGUCAUGUGGGAGCAAAUAAAAAAGAUAGUACCACAAGAGGAAGAGACGGCUAACUCUGUGCCAGCAGCCGCGGUAAUACAGAGGUCUCAAGCGUUGUUCGGAAUCACUGGGCGUAAAGCGUGCGUAGGCUGUUUCGUAAGUCGUGUGUGAAAGGCCCGGGCUCAACCCGCGGACGGCACAUGAUACUGCGAGACUAGAGUAAUGGAGGGGGAGCCGGAAUUCUCGGUGUAGCAGUGAAAUGCGUAGAUAUCGAGCGGAACACUCGUGGCGAAGGCGGGUUCCUGGACAUUAACUGACGCUGAAGCACGAAGGCCAGGGGAGCGAAAGGGAUUAGAUACCCGUGUAGUC